AUUUACUCGGAGUACGAAGAUUAACUGAGGGAGAAGAAACCAGUGCAGCUCUGGCCAGCCAACACACAACCUCUCUCCGUUCCACGACUUUCUCGCCAGCCUUUUCUCCCACCUCCAUCAAGCUCAACUUUCAGCCUCUUUAAGUAUACACAAAACUCCAUUCGAUCUCUCAGUUAGAAAGCUCUGCUUCCAAAUGAAAAGGGAGGCGCAUCAACUGCACAUGAGAAAGAGAUGAAGGAAAAGUCAGAAAGUUUUAAUGGCAAAGGCGUCUCCCUCCUCCAUCACUCAGUCGUCCACAAAGGACUUCAGACGAGGGAGAAAAUCCCAGCGAUGUUUGUUCUUAGCAGCCUUAACGACAACACACGUUUUAUCAAAUGCCAGCUGUAACCCAGGUAAUGAGUCCCGUUCCCCCGGAGUCCUGUUUGAAUUCCCGUCCACUUGGUCGGAUUCAGCACUGCUCUGCAGACGAUCAGAGUGGC